rnacentral:lncRNA from 1 species
AAUGGCUUGUUUCUGCCGUCCCAAAUGACAGCAUGUUGGUGCCCGUCUCUCAUCUGCGACAGUGCCUAGGUUUUAUUUUACAGAAACUGAGACAGUGGCAUCUCGCCUAAUCUUUUUUAUCUGUUAUUUGAGAGAAUCUCACAUUAGCAACUUGCAUUUUGCAACAUUCUGAAAGAUGGGUAUCUUGAAAUUACCUAGGUAACUACCCGCAAGCACAAUUCUGACAUCGUUGGGCCUGAAUUCUGGAUGCAGAGGCUGGGGGCUGGUCAGCGAGGAACAAUGGUCAUUUGUGAAGGAGGGGACACUUGAGAGCUCGGUGUCUCUAUAACAGGAGGCAAAACCAUGUUCACCAAUAAGGUUUCAACCCUUUAUUUAGUGAAAUGAAGUGUUAGGGAACACAGAGGGGGUUUUUAAGAGCUUACACGUCCAUCAGAACCAGAGCCACGGUGUGGGAAGAGAACCGCAAGACGUUUCCUCAAAUACCUGUGGCUUUGUCAACAACAAAAACAAACAAAAACCAAACAAACAAGAACAUAGUUCGAAGGAGAAAUGACUUGGCACCUGAGUUCAAGACUGUCUUAACCCAGAUGAAGGAAUCAAAGACCAGGAACACAAGCAAUUUGGUUACAAAGAAUUACACAGAAGUGAAAUGA